rnacentral:rRNA from 1 species
AUUGAACGCUGGCGGCAGGCUUAACACAUGCAAGUCGAGCGGGGUGAUGGUGCUUGCACUAUCACUUAGCGGCGGACGGGUGAGUAAUGCUUAGGAAUCUGCCUAUUAGUGGGGGACAACAUCUCGAAAGGGAUGCUAAUACCGCAUACGUCCUACGGGAGAAAGCAGGGGAUCACUUGUGACCUUGCGCUAAUAGAUGAGCCUAAGUCGGAUUAGCUAGUUGGUGGGGUAAAGGCCUACCAAGGCGACGAUCUGUAGCGGGUCUGAGAGGAUGAUCCGCCACACUGGGACUGAGACACGGCCCAGACUCCUCCGGGAGGCAGCAGUGGGGAAGAUGGAACAAUGGGGGGAACCCUGAUCCAGCCAUGCCGCGUGUGUGAAGAAGGCCUUAUGGUUGUAAAGCACUUUAAGCGAGGAGGAGGCUCUUUUGGUUAAUACCCAAGAUGAGUGGACGUUACUCGCAGAAUAAGCACCGGCUAACUCUGUGCCAGCCGCCGCAGUAA